UUGAACGCUGGCGGCAUGCUUUACACAUGCAAGUCGAACGGUAACAGGGAGCUUGCUCCGCUGACGAGUGGCGAACGGGUGAGUAAUGCAUCGGAACGUGCCCAGUCGUGGGGGAUAACGCAGCGAAAGCUGUGCUAAUACCGCAUACGAUCUAUGGAUGAAAGCGGGGGAUCGCAAGACCUCGCGCGAUUGGAGCGGCCGAUGUCAGAUUAGCUAGUUGGUGGGGUAAAGGCCCACCAAGGCGACGAUCUGUAGCUGGUCUGAGAGGACGACCAGCCACACUGGGACUGAGACACGGCCCAGACUCCUACGGGAGGCAGCAGUGGGGAAUUUUGGACAAUGGGCGCAAGCCUGAUCCAGCAAUGCCGCGUGCAGGAAGAAGGCCUUCGGGUUGUAAACUGCUUUUGUACGGAACGAAAAGGUCUGGGUUAAUACCCUGGGCUCAUGACGGUACCGUAAGAAUAAGCACCGGCUAACUACGU
rnacentral:rRNA from 1 species